AUUUAUAUAGUUUAAAUAAAACAUUACAUUUUCAUUGUAAAAAUAAAAUAAAUAA
rnacentral:tRNA from 1 species